rnacentral:tRNA from 1 species
GGCCUCGUAGCUCAGUUGGCUAGAGAGUUGGCUGUACUAAAGCCUUGUCUUGCUGGUGUGAGUUCGAAUCCCACCGAGGCCA